CACACACACACACACACACACACACAGAGAGAGACAAUAUAAUUAAGGAAUAGAAGGAAAUAGGACAAGACUAGACAAACAACCUUCUCAUCAAUCAAGUUUUUCAUUAUUGUUUUUAUCCUUACACACAGUAUAUUGUGUAUUCAUAGGACUAUAUAUGUCUAACCCAGAAGUGAGGGUGAGGGCAUCAUGCCUUACUGUCCGGCGUCUCCAAACAGGAAACUUGAGCGGAGAGAUAACCCACGUUUGCUAAUCUGGUUCGGACUGGUUAGACUCUGGCUCCAAUUAAUUCUAGUCGUUCAGAUGUUUUUGUGUUUGUGUAUUAUGUCCUCAUGUUUAAACAACCCUGGUGUAGGUUUUAAUCGAGCACAAUCGUUUGCUAGAUUGACCUGAUACCAGAAUUUGUACAUUUUUAAGCAGAAGACACUUUUUUAUUCAGGAAGCAGCAAUACAACACGCCCGAAUCCGAUACAAACCACUGAUUCAUCUGAGGGACGGUUUAAAAUGUCAGACCCAGGGAGGGGAACAGAGAAAUGUAAUCUACGUGACAUUUUACUUGGCAAACACACAAAUAACAAACGAUUAUCUGUUUACAUAAAAUCAAAUCCAUCAAAAUAUAAUGAUUGACAGUCCAGUCAACAACAACAGUAUUAUUUAUUAUAGUCUGUAUAUAUUUCUUCAACAUUGCACCACCUGUGAACAGUUAUCACCAGUUUGAGGUGCUAAUGGUACCGGUGGUGGUGGUGGUGCUGGUGGUGUUGGUGCUGCUGAUGGAGCGAUCAUCACCGGGACUGAAGACUAGUGACGUCUCACUUGGGGUAUUUGACAAACUGACACUCUGUCUUUUAGUGUCCAGCUCAGCUUGUCAAAUACACUAAGUGGGACGCCGCCUCCUGAAGGAGGUGGAGGAGCCUCAGCCUGCACCUGGAGGAGGUGGAGGAGCCUCAGCCUGCACCUGGAGGAGGUGGAGGAGCUUCAGCCUGCACCUGGAGGAGGUUCAGCCUGCUCCUAAAGGUGGAGGGAAAAACUAGAUUAUAAGAAAUAAAUACAAAUAGACACUCAGCAUUACUACUGGGUAAUGUUUAGUCAUUUAGCAGGUAGGGGUUAGACAGUACAGAGACAAGUCAUUAAGGAGCAGGUAGGGGUUAGACAGUACAGUGACAGGUCAUUGAGGAGCAGGUAGGGGUUAGACAGUACAGGUCAGACUGUGGAUGUAGGGGAUCAAACCUUUGGCCUGGGAGUCAAACAGACUAACCAGUAGAAUAAUUCAGGCGGUGGUGGACGGCUCACCUGAGCGCUGGUUCCGUGGACCGUCGAAGGAUGAGCUGUGUUCUUCAGAGCGGUGGGUUCUUCAGAGCGGUGGGUUCUUCAGAGCGGUGGGUUCUUCAGAGCGGUGGGUUCUUCAGAGCGGUGGGUUCUUCGGUGGGUUCUUCAGAGCGGUGGGUUCUUCAGAGCGGUGGGUUCUUCAGAGCGGUGGGUUCUUCUGAGCGGUGGGUUCUUCGGUGGGUUCUUGAGCGGUGGGUUCUUCAGAGCGGUGGGUUCUUCAGAGAGAUGGGUUCUUCUGAGCGGUUGGUUCUUCAGAGCGGUGGGUUCUUCUGAGCGGUGGGUUCUUCUGAGCGGUGGGUUCCUCCCUGCAGAGAGGACGGCGGCUGACGUCUGAUCGGCCGAUGAUGUCUGCGCCGAAACAGUCAUCAUCGGCCGAAACCGUUUAGAGAAUUAUAUGUUCAACGGCAAAGAGGAAGCUGAAAGGAGGAAGAUAGCAGGCAGGAAGUAUGUGGACAGGCAGUGACAACAGCUCUCCGGAGUUGUGAAAUGAUCUCUGUUGCCGUCAUGGGUCGUUGUCUCGUGGUCAGGGUGGUGCAGGAGAAAGACACUUUAGGUUGAAGACCAGAGGUUAGAGAAGUAGAACGGGUACUUGCAUUUGAG
ensembl:lncRNA